rnacentral:sRNA from 1 species
UGAGAACUAAAAUUCGACAGUUGUUGA